rnacentral:rRNA from 1 species
AGCAGCCGCGGUAAUUCCAGCUCCAAUAGCGUAUAUUAAAGUUGUUGCAGUUAAAAAGCUCGUAGUUGAAUUUCGGGGUUAGUAGGUUGGUCAUGCCUCUGGUAUGUACUGGUCUCACUGAUUCCUCCUUCCUGAUGAACCUUAAUGCCAUUUAUUUGGUGUUUUGGGGAAUUUGGACUGUUACUUUGAAAAAUUAGAGUGUUUAAAGCAAGCUAACGCUUGAAUACAUUAGCAUGGAAUAAUGAAAUAGGACGUUCGAUCCUAUUUUGUUGGUUUCUAGGAUUGACGUAAUGAUUAAUAGGGAUAGUUGGGGGCAUUGGUAUUCAAUUGUCAGAGGUGAAAUUCUUGGAUUUAUUGAAGACUAACUACUGCGAAAGCAUAUGCCAAGGAUGUUUUCAUUAAUCAAGAACGA